CCUACGGGAGGUAGCAGUGAGGAAUAUUGGUCAAUGGACGAGAGUCUGAACCAGCCAAGUAGCGUGAAGGAUGACUGCCCUAUGGGUUGUAAACUUCUUUUAUAUGGGAGUAAAAUGUUCCACGUGUGGGAUUUUGUAUGUACCAUAUGAAUAAGGAUCGGCUAACUCCGUGCCAGCAGCCGCGGUAAUACUGAGGAUCCGAGCGUUAUCCGGAUUUAUUGGGUGUAAAGGGAGCGUAGGUGGAUUGUUAAGUCAGUUGUGAAAGUUUGGGGCUCAACCGUAAAAUUGCAGUUGAAACUGGCAGUCUUGAGUACAGUAGAGGUAGGCGGAAUUCGUGGUGUAGCGGUGAAAUGCUUAGAUAUCACGAAGAACUCCGAUUGCGAAGGCAGUUCACUGGACUGCAACUGACACUGAGGCUCGAAAGUGUGGGUAUCAAACAGGAUUAGAUACCCUUGUAGUC
rnacentral:rRNA from 1 species